rfam:Catenulispora acidiphila DSM 44928, complete genome.
AGCGCCACCGGGUCGACGGCGCGGGUGGUCAGCAGGUAGUCGCGGAUCGCGAUGCCGUGCCGGCCCUC